ACUAUUUACAUAAAUACACUGGCGGACAUACAUUUUUUAGGAAUACUCAGCUGAAACUGUGACAAGAGUUUUAGCCGUAGUUUAAAUAAAAACUAUUUAUACCGACGUUACCUUUCGUACAAAAAAUGAAAUAUGUAAAUGUUAACACUGUACUGCUUUGAAACGAUGCCUUAAAACGAACUCCUAUAGUUCUUCUUAUAAAACUACAAUUCGUUACGAAAUGUUUUAAAUUUUCGCGGCUAUCUUUAUUUACACCUACGAUCUACAUUUUAAGCACUAUUUACGGGUUCGUACCUUUAUUUUUACCCAUGUCAUGGGAUCUUGGCGCUUGCUACAGCGACAUAAUUAAUGCGGGUAACGGAUUAAAUGCAAAAUUCUUUUGUUAGAUUCAAUUAAAUGUGUUCAUAAUAUGGGUAGGAGCGAAAUUUAAAAAAAAGCAAUCGUUACUAAAUCAUAUUUUGUAGAUAUCAUCAAAGGAAAUCUUCCACCGAGCGGGUGAUAUUCCUUGGUAGACCGAAGGUCCGAAUGUUGUUGUUGGAAUUUUGUAUAUAUGCAAGCCUAUCUUGAAAAGGUCGUGAGCGAAAUUCAGCAACUGUCAAAUAUCUUUGUUAAAUGAUGGCUACCCGCCAUCCACAUAACCGACGUGAUUUGAACACGCAACCUUCUGAAGCCACAAUUUGGAGAAAAAAUCGUUUUAGUUCAGUGAUAAAUAUCAAAUUAGAAACAGAAUACCAAAGAGCUUGUGAAUUUUAAAAAAAAAGCAAAGAAUUCCGUUAAAAUUGGCAAUCACAUUUUGGCACAUUGUAGUUCUCAUUUUAUAAACAGACAAGGUUAGCUUAAAAUAGAAUAUUUGAAACUAGAUUUUCUUUAUAUAACGUAUUUUCUGUCUUAUUUAGACAAUAUUAAUAAUCGUUGUCGUCGUGGCCUAAAAGAUAAGACGCUUGAUGUCUUCGUGUCGAGCGAUGCGACCGUGCCGGUGUUCAAACCCCACAGGCAGGAAACUUUUUUAAACAACUCGAAAAAAGGAGAAGGUUCUCAUGCGACAACUUUUUUUUCUAGAGUAUAUACAAAGGUUGGAACAAUCUCAAUAACAACCACAAUUGAUUUUCGUCUUCUUCUUCUUUCUAUCCAAUUACCCGCUGCUGGGGUGUAGGACUCGAAUCAAAUUCUCCCAUUUGCAUUGGUGAAAAAAAAGAACAAUUGCUUAACCUUUGUUCUAUUUUUAUUCAUAAAAGUUACCAGAGUCAAUUAAAAAUGCAAAACAGUCUGACAUAGUCUUAUUGGUCAACAUGAAAACAAAACUUGAUGCUAAAAUAAAUUAAGAAGUGUUUAUUGUAGCUUUAUCCAAUGCAAUGUUUAUGGAAUUAUCAAUCAAAAGAGUGAAGUUAUAUUUGAAACAAAAUGCAUCUCUGAUUUUCAAAAAGGAUGUCAUUUCUACACUAAAAUAGCAUAUUUCAGUGUUUCAGUUUUCUUUCAGUCAGCAUGGUAAUACCCACCAGCUUAGGCACACGAUAUUUCCUACAAUGACUGAGUAAAUAUCUUAAUAAAAAAGAAAUUAUAGAACCUUCACUGAACUGAUAUAAUUGAGAAGACAUUAGGUGUAACAAAUUUUAUGAAACUAAGUGCCUUUCACUAAGAUAACAUGAAUCAUACAUACUUCUAAUAUAUAGAAAUAAAGUUUUUUUUUUAAUUA